UACGAAGGGUGCUAGCGUUGUUCGGAAUUACUGGGCGUAAAGCGCACGUAGGCGGAUAUUUAAGUCAGGGGUGAAAUCCCAGAGCUCAACUCUGGAACUGCCUUUGAUACUGGGUAUCUUGAGUAUGGAAGAGGUAAGUGGAAUUGCGAGUGUAGAGGUGAAAUUCGUAGAUAUUCGCAGGAACACCAGUGGCGAAGGCGGCUUACUGGUCCAGUACUGACGCUGAGGUGCGAAAGCGUGGGGAGCAAACAGG
rnacentral:rRNA from 1 species